rnacentral:rRNA from 1 species
GACGAACGCUGGCGGCGUGCUUAACACAUGCAAGUCGAACGAAGUGGCGAACGGGUGAGUAACGCGUAAUCAACCUGCCCUUCAGUGGGGGACAACAGUUGGAAACGACUGAUAAUACCGCAUACUGCAAGAGGGGAUUGCGUCGUGUUAGCUCGUUGGAGGGGGAACGGCCCAACAAGGCGAUGAUCAGUAGCCGGUCUUGUAGGAUGAACGGCCACAUUGGGACUGAGACACGGCCCAGACUCCUACGGGAGGCAGCAGUGGGGGAUCUUCCGCAAUGGACGAAAGUCUGACGGAGCAACGCCGCGUGAGUGAUGACGGCCUUCGGGUUGUAAAGCUCUGUUAAUCGGGACGCGGUACCGGAAUAGAAAGCCACGGCUAACUACGUGCCAGCAGCCGCGGUAAUUC